CCUGGCGGCCAUAGCGCGGUGGUCCCACCUGACCCCAUGCCGAACUCAGAAGUGAAACGCCGUAGCGCCGAUGGUAGUGUGGGGUCUCCCCAUGCGAGAGUAGGGAACUGCCAGGC
rnacentral:rRNA from 4 species